ACUUCUGUAGGAUAACAGCAAUCCAUUGGUCUUAGGAACCAAAAAUCUUGGUGCAAAUCCAAACAAAAGUA
rnacentral:tRNA from 1 species